rfam:Pteropus alecto contig62045, whole genome shotgun sequence.
GCCUACAGCCAUGCCACCCUGAACAUGCCCGAUCUCGUCUGAUCUCGGGCCUGUUUAGUACUUGGAUGGAGACCAUCUAGGAAUACCAGGUGCUGUAGGCA